rnacentral:lncRNA from 1 species
AAGAUUGAAAUAAGUAAAGGUUUCAAAACCUAGACAUGGGGUCUCAUAGGCAUAAAUUCAAUGAAAUAUUCUAGAUAAAAGCUUGGAACAUGGAAGUACCUGAAGUAUUUGAGCCUCACCACCCAAUAUUUGAAAUGGGAUCAUAGCAUCUUGCUGACUCUACACAACUUUAUACCAAAAAGAGGCUAUUAUGGAUAUAUAUAUAUAUAUAUAAGAUGCAUUUACACACACAUGAUGAGGCAUUUAGACUACACAAGAUUAACAUUCUAAUUUCCACUAAAGCUAACAAAAUAUUUGUUGUUCACCGAAUUCAGCACUUAUACUAGCUACUCUCACAGUUAGAUCACUGAAGUCUUAGGAAUAAACAACGUGAUAUAAAAAUUUAUUACAAACGGAUCAACUUCAACAGUGAAAUCAAAGUCAAGUCUAUUUAAGGGAACCCUAAUCAUUAUUUCUCAACGAUGCGAGUUAAACAUAACAGAUCAAAUGGCAUAACAUAACCUAAAUUCCAUUGAAAUGCAAGCCAGUUGCAAAGAAACAAGGUUGAGUCUCCUCAGUUUUACCUCAAAUUUAUCAUGAAACAAACAGAAAACCGAUACAAGAGUAAAAAGAGUUUUGCGAAAAAAGGAAAUAUUACCUGAUAAACGUAGGGUUGAAAAGGAGUAGAAAGAAAAGGGGCAGCCAUUGAAUGAUCUCGAAUUUGAAAUCAAAUCCUUAAAGUUUUCGAGGUUUUAAUCUGAAAUCUAAUUCAGAAGGGGAAAAUGAAAUUAAAAAACAAAAUUCACUGUUCCACUUCUGUUCUUUGUCGAAGCGGUCGAUAGACGAGCUGACAUUGACUGGUUGUAAAGAAAAAGAAAAGAAAAGGUUGAGAGACAGAGGGAGCAAAUCGGUUGAAACUUGAGCAAAUCGGCAGAAGGCAGAAGGAAGGAAG